rnacentral:rRNA from 1 species
UAGGGAAUCUUCGGCAAUGGACGAAAGUCUGACCGAGCAACGCCGCGUGAGUGAAGAAGGUUUUCGGAUCGUAAAACUCUGUUGUUAGAGAAGAACAAGGACGUUAGUAACUGAACGUCCCCUGACGGUAUCUAACCAGAAAGCCACGGCUAACUACGUGCCAGCAGCCGCGGUAAUACGUAGGUGGCAAGCGUUGUCCGGAUUUAUUGGGCGUAAAGCGAGCGCAGGCGGUUUCUUAAGUCUGAUGUGAAAGCCCCCGGCUCAACCGGGGAGGGUCAUUGGAAACUGGGAGACGUGAGUGCAGAAGAGGAUAGUGGAAUUCCAUGUGUAGCGGUGAAAUGCGUAGAUAUAUGGAGGAACACCAGUGGAGAAGGCGGCUCUAUGGUCUGUAACUGACGCUGAGGCUCGAAAGCGUGGGUAGCAAACAGG